AGAUAUAAUAAAUCUGAAUAAACAGUAAAAUACAAAUAAGGGAAUUGGGUUAGAAUCCCAAACGGUCUCGCCGCUGUAUUAGCUGAAUUUACUUCAUAUGCCACUGAAUUUAUGUUUGGGAAGGCGAAGUAAAUGCUCUUAGGCUUAAGUCAGAAUACCUUUAUUCUAAAUAAUUUACGAG
rnacentral:ncRNA from 19 species